UACAGAGGGUGCGAGCGUUAAUCGGAAUUACUGGGCGUAAAGCGUGCGUAGACGGUUAUUUAAGUCGGGUGUGAAAGCCCCGGGCUCAACCUGGGAAUUGCAUUCGAGACUGAAUAGCUAGGGUACGGUAGAGGGAAGUGGAAUUUCCGGUGUAGCGGUGAAAUGCGUAGAUAUCGGAAGGAACACCGGUGGCGAAAGCGGCGCGCUGGAUCUCUUCUGACGCUGAGGCGCGAAAGCCAGGGGAGCGAACGGG
rnacentral:rRNA from 1 species